UGCAAGUCGAACGAGAAAGUGGAGCAAUCCAUGAGUAAAGUGGCGCACGGGUGAGUAACACGUGACUAACCUACCCUUGAGUGGGGGAUAACCUCGGGAAACCGGGGCUAAUACCGCAUAAUACCUACGGGUCAAAGGAGCAAUUCGCUUUAGGAGGGGGUCGCGGCAGAUUAGUUAGUUGGCGGGGUAAUGGCCCACCAAGACGGUGAUCUGUAUCCGGCCUGAGAGGGCGCACGGACACACUGGAACUGAAACACGGUCCAGACUCCUACGGGAGGCAGCAGUGGGGAAUUUUGCGCAAUGGGGGAAACCCUGACGCAGCAACGCCGCGUGGAGGAUGAAGUCCCUUGGGACGUAAACUCCUUUCGAUCGGGACGAUUAUGACGGUACCGGAAGAAGAAGCCCCGGCUAACUUCGUGCCAGCAGCCGCGGUAAUACGAGGGGGGCGAGCGUUGUUCGGAAUUAUUGGGCGUAAAGGGCGCGUAAGCGGUCGGAUAAGUCUUGUGUGAAAUCUUCGGGCUCAACUCGAAGUCUGCACGGGAAACUAUCUGGCUUGAGUGUGGGAGAGGUGAAGUGGAAUUCCUGGUGUAGCGGUGAAAUGCGUAGAUAUCAGGAGGAACACCUGUGGCGAAAGCGGCUCACUGGACCACAACUGACGCUGAGGCGCGAAAGCUAGGGGAGCAAACAGGAUUGGAUACCCUGGUAGUCCUAGCCCUAAACGAUGAUCGCUUGGUGUGACGGGUACCCAAUCCCGCCGUGCCGAAGCUAACGCGUUAAGCGAUCCGCCUGGGGAAGUACGGUCGCAAGGCUGAAACUCAAAGGAAUUGACGGGGGCCCGCACAAGCGGUGGAGCAUGUGGUUU
rnacentral:rRNA from 1 species